rnacentral:sRNA from 1 species
CAGGAUAUGGAGAAAUGGGGAGUUGUAGUCCUUUAACAGGCCAGCUUAAACUCUGUCAAUUGGCUAAAGAUUCUUAGUACAACUGAUGCACCAGAAAAAAAAAAAAAAGAUUAGCCUUGAAUCUAGCAUACAUUCUUAGUGCUAAUAACAAUGAUGUGCUGAUUAUAUCAUUGCUAUUUACUUUCAGGGUUGUACCUGACAAACUGCGUUCUCUGGCCUUGGGUGUAAGCUAUGUGAUUUUGAGAAUAUUUGGGACUAUUCCUGGACCAUCAAUCUUUAAAAUGUCAGGAGAAACUUCUUGUAUUUUACGGGAUGUUAAUAAAUGUGGACACACAGGACGUUGUUGGAUAUAUAACAAGACAAAAAUGGCUUUCUUAUUGGUAGGAAUAUGUUUUCUUUGCAAACUAUGCACUAUCGUCUUCACUACUAUUGCAUUUUUCAUAUACAAACGUCGUCUAAAUGAGAACACUGACUUCCCAGAUGUAACUGUGAAGAAUCCAAAAGUUAAGAAAAAAGAAGAAACUGACUUGUAACUGGAUCAUCAUUGUAUUCUCCAAGAUUUGUUUCUGUGCCCAACUUUCAGAAGAGGAAAAUCACACAUUAUGUUUACAUAAGUAGCAAAAAUAUAUUUAUGGUGAUCUGCAUUUUCAUAAUAAAGUGUCCUAUUGUGAAACA